rnacentral:ncRNA from 1 species
UCUCAUCAAGAGUAGUGGAGGGAAAGGCCCUGUGAAGCUACAGCAACCAUUCUAAGGAAAAGGUGCUAAGUCCGACGGUUCAGAGCCGAAAGAUG